GCCUGUGUGGUGUGGUGGUCUGAGCAUUGAACUACCACUCUGGAGACUAGGGUUCGAUUCCCUGCUCAGCCA